GACAUUUGCCACAGGUCACCUGAUCAGUUAAGAUGGGGUCUUCCAUGCGCCCCGAGCGAGUCUCAUAGUUUAGACAAUGGAAGACGCUGGGUGACCAAUAGUUUUUUACCGCUUCUAUGCUUCUGUAAGCUCAGUUUAAUUUGCCAUUUCGAAAGCUUUAUACUUUUGGAAACUCACAGUAUAGAAAGCCAUUUUUUAUGUUGGAAUUUUUAAGCCUUCAAACAAUUUUGAUUUAAAACACUGUGUAACGCCUGCCUGCGUACCUGCCUGCUUGCCUGCCUACCCCUUUGCAUGCCUGCCUGCCUGCCUACCACCUUGCCUGCCUGCUUGUCUGCCUGCUUGCCUCUCUCCAACCAUCAUUGAACACAGUGCCCCCGGAAGGCUUUACAUAACGCCCAAUUAGGGCUGGGGAGAGAGAACGCCCUCGCAGCCGCCGGGGUAAGAAAGUCAUCAAGUCAGGAAGUCUUAGCGGUCUGUGAAGCCUCUGGCAAUUCUCCCCUGGUCUACGGCUUACGCUCUUAAAACCAUCCUGUCAUCUCUUUCGGAUGUCUUCCACAGUCGGCCUGAUCGCUGGUGAUUCCCUGAGUCCUCCUCUUUUUCGUUUUUUCUGUAGGGCGUUCCAUACUGUUGACAUUGGAAUAUACAAACAUUCUGCAACAGCUCUAAUUGAUUAUUUCUUUCCUUUCACCCUCACAGUAGCUUUCUUGGUUCUCUUACUCAGUUCUCUGGCCCUCAUCUGCAGUUUUCAGUGUUCUCAUAAAGUAGACUUAACAGACACUUCCAAAGGAUAUAGCUCACCCAAGCUGUGAACUAUCCAUUUAUAAAUACAGUAAUAUGGCAAACCUGAAAAUUUGAUACUACUGAUGAUCAUUUGUGCCAAUACUUAUGCUGACUUUAAAUAGAAGAACUUGACUAGUCGAAUGUCAUUGUUGUAAUACAGUUCAAUGUCUGUUAAAAAAAAAAUUGAUAAAAUAAAUGCAAACAUUUAGAAUUUUGCCUCAGUCAUUGUUUUAUUUGAAAAUACAAAUGUGUUUACUACAGAGGAAAAGCAAUUAACUUGGCCCAAUACUUCUGCAUUUAACUGUAUAUAUUUCCUUCAAAAGCACUACGUAAACAUUCAUAUAACUGCAAAUAGGCUUAUCCUGCGAAUAGACACACACCUCCAUAUGCCUGCUUGUGGUUGUUGACAUUGUCAGUGUUUACUCAGAGCUUAUGAAGGUGCUGUGCAUUAGUUAGCUCAAAUGAAGGA